rnacentral:lncRNA from 1 species
UACAUAUGAAAUCUAUUCCAAAUUAUUUAUCCAAAUACUAGUCUCUAUGAGUAAGGGGGAGUUUUUUCCAAAGUGGUCAUUUCUAAAGUUGUUGCAUUGUGCUUCCAUAAAAAAAUGUUACUUGCAUUGUAAGUGUUUGUCCCUAUUUAUCUUGUGAAAGAUUUCCUAUUCUUUUGUUGUUUUUUUGGUGAUUAAUGCCAAAAGGGGGGGAAUAUGUGAGGAUCCCACAUUUGAUCAAAAGAGGUAGAAUACUUGUGGAUACCAAAUAUGAUCAGUUCAAUAAAAAAGUGGAAAUAUUCUAGGAUCCUACACCAUUUGCAAUAGCAUAUCAUUGUCAUGUAAUGCAAUAUAUUUUCACAUUGGCAUGAAUGGAUAUAAAUCACAUCUCAAAUUAUCAUAUCAUGUUGAUUUGUAUCAUCUAUCAUCGAUAUUUUCAUUUAUAUCCAAAUUCGGUUCCUAAAAAUGAAUUUGUCAUCAAUCGCCAAAAAGGAGGAGAUUGUAAGUUCAAGUGCCAUUAAGUUGGUUUUGGUGAUUAAUGACAAGUCUAAUUACUUAAGACUAAUGUUUUUAUGAGCUUAUCUUUGACUAGUCAUUUGGAUAUGGAAAUGAAAAUAGUGAGAGGUAUG